UGCAAUUUUUUUGGUCAUGUCCUUUACUUCAAACUGCUGUAGGAUGGUGAUGGUGACAUCUCAAGAUACAAGAAUGCUGGCUCAGACCUAAAUUCAAAACACGAUUCGAGGUCUUCCAGCCCCCGAUUGGCAGAUGGGAAAGAGCAUCGUGAGAGAAAUGGCCUGAGAGGACGAAGCAGGUAGGAAUUAACUGGAUUUACUAAUUACUCAAAAAUUUUAAGGUACUCAAUUGGCAGGGGUUUGAUUUUAUUUUUUGGAAUGUCUUAAACUCUAAACGGAACAAAACUUAGACCACAUCUUGAUUUGCAUGUACUCCUAAUUUUCUACUGCUUAAUUUUUUGCUCUUAGGCUUUGUGUAAAUGAUAGGAAAAUCUUAUACAGGAUAAUAUUUCCCAAGAUAAAUGAGUGGACAAAAUGGAUGACUCAAGGAUAUGGAUGGAAGUGAGGUCUUGUAAACUAUCUUGGAGCUCAUAGCAAUUUGAACGAGAAUGUUAUGAAGUUGGACAGUUUUGGGUUAAUUUUUUAUGCCAGAAAUGGUUUUCUACGUAAAUAUUCUUAGAACUAGAAAGAGUAAAAAACAUGGAGAUUACUAGAGGAGGAUGAGAGAGUUUUGCUCAUUCGAGGGUAGGUCAAAAUCAUGCAUUUAAUUUCAAACUCUGUGCAUCAAGUCUACUGACAUGAAGAAAUUUUCCCACUUCAAUAAGGAUUUGGACAAAUUGGAGUAAUUUAAAAGUCUGGAGACUAUGAUCGCUUGAAAUUGGGACUAACCUAGAGUCUUGGAUUCUUAUGAAUUGCAACUUCUAAAUAUUAUUUUAAUUUUCUAGAUCAAUUAGGACUUAUGCAAUGUAAAAAGGGAUAAAUUCCAUUCGCUGUAACUAUGCUUUCGCUUUAUGUCAAUUAGGUGACUUUAGGAGUGGCGUGUGGUUUGGCUCAGUUCGAUCUUAAAGGGAAUCUAACCAAACUAAUUACCAAUGUGAAUUUUACAAAUGGAAUUAUUGGUUCCUUAUGUAUCGAACUGGAAAUGGACAAAUUGUUUCCUAUUUCUUUCGGUACUUUAUACUUAAAAUAAUGAAAAUAGAUUAUGAAAUCAAUUGUCAUUCCUAUAAUCUAACAAACAAAAAAUCAAUGAAUAGCAAGUCACUAAUAUAUUCCACAUGCUUUUUUAUUAGAGGUACUAGCUAGAAUAUUUAAAUUAUACAUAUUGUCCAAUGAUUAAAAUAACACCAAGUAUGUAAGUUUAAAAAAUAAAAAUUAAAAAAAUGCCAUUAAUCAAGAAUUACCACUAAUUUUGCUUUCCAGUUUCAAAUUCUCACUAAAUUUGCUUUAAAAUUGCCAAUUCACAAGUGAACAAUGUAAUAUGGAGUCAAAUUUGAAUAAUAAGUUAACUAAAUAUCAAAUCCCAAAUUUUAGUAGAAUUAACAAUCUACCAUAAUAAAAUUUAACUUAAGAACUCUUCAAUGUCUUCAACUUACAAAAUUUUAGUAGAAUUAACAAUCAACUGUAAUAAAAUUAAACUUAAGAAGUCUUCAAUGUCUUCAACUUAGCCCUUGUUUGACACCCAUUAAAAUUCAAAUACAUUUUUUACUCUUUUUUUCAACCAUACAUUUUUCAAUAAAAUAAUAUUACACGUAAAUUAAAAAAAAAAAAAAAUCUUUUUUAAUCACACAUCCUCCCAAAAAUACUAUUUUAUCAUACAUUUUACCAAAUUUUCUCUUUAUAAUGUGUCAAACAAGGGCUUAUCUGCAUCAAUCCUUUUAAAGAGUGAGUCCACCCCUUGCAUUGAUUUUAAAAUAUAAAAAUUAAAUGUUAAUAUAUGAACGAAAAAUUACACAUAAGAAAUUACAAAUAAAAUAUAAUUACGGUCGUACUUUCAACUAGAUCAUCAAUGAAUUUUCACAAUCAUUGAAUAAUCCUUUGUGUGAUUAUGUUUCUUAACAAAUUCUACAUGAUAUUGCAAAAAAAAAAAAAAAAAUUUUUUUUUAUAACUGUCAAUAUUAAAAGAAGCAUAAAUAAAAAGUAAAAACAAGUUUACAAUCUAAUAAACAAAAAUAAAAUAAGAUAUUCUAAUUAUCGAUUUCCAAUUUAAUAAAUUGUUCAUGAUAUUCCAUCUCUUCAAUGCCCACUCCAUAUAGUUGGUCUCCCAAGUGUAGAACAUAGCCAAUUUUGUAUAUAAAUUAAAGCCUCAAUUAUUUUGGGUGUAUUAACUCCUAAAUGAAUCAAAAACUCGCCCUACGGCACUAAAUGUCGACUCCAAAGCAACAAGAGAGAGAGGUUUGCAAGUAGAUCCCUUGCAAUCUUAAACAAAAUUGCAUAUCUUGGACAAUUUAACUUAAAAGUUGAAUUACUAGUUUUCAGUGGGGUCCAUUAGUUAUCUCUGAAUCUCAUCUUUUAACAAAUUAGCAUUGCUACUUCUUCCUUUUUUUUUUUUAAAAAAAAAAAAAUACCCAAAUCAAAAUUGUUGGACUCAUCCCAUGAUCAUCUGCAUAAGCCUCAACCAAAUUGUCAUUAAAGUCAUGAAUACCACCAUCUCCAUCAUUGGAUGCACUAUGCCAUCCUUUAUACCUAUUUUACAACUCGCGAUAAAAUCUUGAUUUCAUUUUUUCGAUUCAACCAAGCUAUUAUCAUAAAAGUGACCAAUACAAUAAACUACUUCCAACUUGUACCGAGGAUUCAAUCACAAUAGCUCUAAUAUCUGUAUUUUGUUCAUUUUAUCAACAAUCCCCCAAUACUUGUCGAAUUCACUCUUCAUGUUUUUUGCCAUAUCACUAAAUAAAAGAUCUUGCUAUGCUAAAUUUCUUCAAAAUUUGUUGAAUAUUACGAACUUCUUAAAAGUACAAAUUCGAGGUCACAUUCAAAGAUUCACUAAAAUUUUAAGUGAUUUUGUGAAAGGUUUCUAGAUACUUAAUAAUUUCCUCAUAUUUUUCCCAAUUGUCUCUUGUAAUUACCUCCUAUUUCCUUCCCAUUCUCACGCUCAUCAAAAUAUAUGCAAUAAAACCCAUAUUCCUUUGCCAUCCGAUCUAAUAGUUUCUCAAACUUAAGUGCACCAUCCAACAUCAAGUAUGUUGCAUUCCACCGAGUAAGCUAAUUUUUGCACUAAUUUCUUCUUUUAUCACAAAUCUUGAAUUUUGCUAAUCUUGAAGGGGAUGAUCCAAAAUAUUUCACGGCAUUCGUAUACUUGCUAUUGCCACGUUAAACUCUUUCAACUCAUCUUUUACCAUUACAUUCAAAAUAUGUGCACACCUUACAUGCGUAAGGGACCCACAUAAUGCCAUCCUAUCAACUUUCCCAUUCUUUAAUAUAUUUUUCGUAUUCAAUAGCCCUAUCAUUUGCACUUGUAUUAACAGUAGUAAUUAUGGAUACAUGCUCUAUUUUCUAGUCAAGCCAACAUUUUUCAGCAAGUUUUACUAUUGUUUUUCCUUUAUGGUUACGAACUAUCGAAACUCAAUAUCCUCUUAUUUAACACCCAGUUUUUGUCAAUAAAAUGGGACGUGAUAACCAUGUAAUUAAUAUAUUUAUUUAUGUCUUGCAAUUUGUGGUAAGACACAACUCUUGCUUAUUAGCAAUAAGCUUACCUUUCAAUAAUUCUCUCUUCACUAUAAAGUUUUAGCACGUCCCUAUUAACUAUUCUACGAGAUGGAAUAUCUGACUUAGGGCAUUCAUAUCCUAUAUAUUUUCUAAACCCAACACCAUCAAUAAAGCUAACGGCAAUUCAUUGACAAUAAUCAUUUUCACCAUUGCCUUCCUACAUGCUUCUUUGUUAAACACCAUAGCACCAAUAUCGGCAAUGCCACCGUUACCACCAUCAUUGUCAUUUAAUCAUCUCGUUAGUACCUUGUCUUUAAUCUAUUUGGUACUCUUGUAUGCUUUGCAAGUGUUUCCACAAGUUAGAAGUUUUAGUUUCAUUGGAAUCAUGAGCAUAAGAUUCCCACAUAGCUACAUUCUGCCCUUUUUCCCUUGUAUCUUAGUAAAAUGUUACCAUACUUUCGAUCUCACAUUCAGGCUUCUUUUAUUUUCAACAAUCUCUGCGUUCAUCUACGUGACAAAUAGUAGAAAAUACGUAAAACAAAAAACUGAUUCUAUACUAUGAAAUCAAUGGUUUUCAUGGCAACAAUCUUCAAACUUCUUAAGUUGUUCAUCCUAAUAGAAUUCAUUUCUUCCAAAGUAUACUUCAUUCUUCAUUUUGUAAUUAUAAAGAUUCAACUGAAAAAGAAUUCUAUGUUGGGAAUUGGAAAAUGGAAAUCAACUUCUAUUGUAAGUCCUUUGUAAAGAAAUAGUUGCAAAUUUUUUCCAAAUUGUAAAGACUCUUUAUCCAAAUUUUAAAGACUCUUUAGCAUGUCAUUAAUCAAAUCAAGCUAUAUCUUCGUACUCGUAAUCUACUGACUGCAAUGGGUUGUGAAAAACAUUCAGAUUGCAAUCUCUUUAGUCUUUAACGCUUAAUAAUCUAACUUAUACUGUAUAUACUUAAAGUUUACACAAUAUAAAUAUUGUCUUCUCAGCAUUAAUAUAGAUUUCAUUAAUUUAAAUAGCAUAAUGUUUCAGCAUCAACUGAUAAUGAAUUUUUGCAUACAAGAUAAAAAUAAAGUCAUAAAUUAUCACGUUGUUCAAUAAAUCCUAUAAUUGAAUUCAGUGAAUGAAGACCAAACAAGGCAACAACCAAACAAUCCAACUCCAAGCUCAAAUUUAGAUUGCUCUAGAUUUACUAAACAUUAUAUAUUUGAUAUAGGAGCAUACAAAUUGAUAAAGAACAAUAAGAAGAAAGGGGAUCAAAAGGAAGAAAUGAGGGCAAGAGAAAACUUUUAUUCAUAUAAUUAUGGUCUGUUUAUAAACAUUGUCCUAAGUCUCUUUAUAUAGAGGACUUCGAAAUUAAAUAAACUUCCUAGUAUCAAUUUGGUAUCGGAGCAAUGAGAAGAAACGGGAUCAAAUAGAAGAAUUGAGGGCAAGAGAGAUAGUUUUAUUCAUAUAAUUCAGGUCUGUUUGUAAACAUUCCCCUAAAUCUGUUUAUAUAGAGAAAGACUUUGAAAUUAAAUAAAUUUCAUAUCUAAACAAACUUGAAAUAAAAGAUAACAAUUGUCAUAAUCAAACUACUAUAAUAUAGAUAAACUGGAAUUCUAUUAAUUCUUAGUUUUUCGUCUUGAAUAGACUUUUAGUUGUUUCCUUGUUGUGUCAAUAUUGCUCCAGUCCAGAAUUCGUCGAUUAAAGUUUAAUUCUUAAAAAAAUCAUACAACAGUUUAUAUAUAAAAAAAUACAUCUAGGUAUUUUAAUUCAAACUCGAUUAUCUUCAAUAAUGUCAAGGUGAUCUCGAGAAGAUCUUGAUUCUUGACAUCAUAUCAAUUUUGAUAAAAUGAGAGAUUUGAGUUCUUGCGAAAGAUCAAAUAGAAGAUAUAUUUUUCCCUUUUGGGGUUUGCACUAAAAUUAUGAAUUUGUAAAGUAUUUAUAGAAUUAUUUAGAACGUGGAUUUUGAUAUUUUGAAUCUUGAUUACGGAGUAGGUUUUCCUUACAAAGGAUAGAGUCAGAAUUGUAGAAGUGUAUCAAAAGGUGGUGUGAGAUAAUUCUUGACCUAGGACUUUAUAGCCUGUUUGGUAUGGAUUAUUUUAAUCUAAGUCAACGUCAAACAAUCAAUAUUAACCACAUCUUUCAUGGUUUCCAUAACUUUUCAACCAUAAAUUUCAAAAACUUCUAUCACGAUCUACUGAAAAAUAUAAUUUUAAUCCCUACCAAACACCCUUUUAAUGUCAAAAUAUGAGGACCUGGUAUAUCUUGGUGCAAUGCACCUAUGUAAUAUAAAUUUUGGGAAAAUCAUCUGUUCUCAUGGCUGCACUGAAAACCAGAUCGAGCCACUUAGUAAAGGAAUAGGAGCCUGGAAAGAUUGUCCACCUCUAGGAAAUUGUACUUCAAUUUUGUUCAAUUGGGUAACUAAAAUUUUUCAUUUCAAUUGGAUAAUUUGAUUUUAAUCAAAUAACUAGGUUUUGAUUUUAUUUAAAUUAAAGUAACUUCGUCCAAUUCCACCAACAAAAAUUGAUGACGUGGCUAUUUAUAAAUUUUGGUCAUCAUACAUAACCGUCAGAUGCUAAUGGGAAAUAUGUACAACUUAAGUGAAAUCAAUGACGACCGUCGUUUUUUAAUUGUCACGUCAUUGAUAUUGUCUGUCCAAGUGAUAGAAUCAUAGAAAUCCAUUUGAAAUCAAAUUAAAGUGUAGUUAUACAAUUAAACAAACAUCAGUAUCUAGGUAUUGACUCCAGAUGAAAAUGUAGUUACCUCAAAUGGAAUUUAUCCAUGUAAAAACCUAGUAAGAAUGAAAUAUGCCUUUGGAGAAUCUAUAUUUCUAAUAUAUAUCAAUUAUCUAGGAGUAACAAAACAUCAUUCCUCUUUUGUUUGCUAAUACAAGGUGAUUGAUGUUUGUUUAGGUACAGCCUUGUAGGUUUCAAAAACUCGACUUUUCCACAUAGUAAUUGCUACUGGAGUAUACAUAUGUGCAAUUGAGUUUUCUUAUCCAAAAUAUUGUUUACUUGCUAGAUAUAUAUGUCGAAAAGUGUGCUAAAUCACCAUUGCUGCAAACAAUCAAGUUCUUUUGGGGCUUUUUGGAGGCUUUCACCUCCAUAAGUAUUUGUUUUUUCCCAAGAAGUUUCGAUUCCAUUGUUAAGUGGUCUCAAGUGAUGUUUUGUCACAUAUAUUAGUUUCGAGUUUUUUGUAUCUUUUCUUUUACCCAUCUUUUUCUUUGUUACUUGAUGAAGAUUGUUGAUUAUUAGCAUUAUAUGAGUUAACAAUCAAUUAAUAAGAUAAUGGGUAUCAUGAGAUUUUAGGUGUUAUAUGUUAAGCCACUUUAUGUAAAAGCUUAAGUUAUUCAUAUUUUGUCUUUGCCUAUCAUGCACACAUUUUGAUAAAUGCAUUUUUUUGUGGGCAGCAUUGCCGCCUCUCGUAUAACGUAGAACCAUUUUUGUCUGAAAGCUUAAGCCAUUAUAAGGGGAUACAUUUAUUUAUUCAAGUUUUAUUUUCAAAGUUAUGGAAUAUAUGUAGUGUCUUGAAAUUAAAAAUGUCAAUUUCCUUGUAAUUCCUCAUGGUUUGAACUCCGUGCAACGGAUAAGCGUAUUAAAGAGCCAUACAAAAGUGCAAUUUUUUUUUCUUCGUUUACUUUGGCUGUAAUGACCCGGACCUCUCGUCCAAGCCGUUAGUUUACGUACUGUCCGCUUUGGGUGGCCACUUAUCCCUCACGACUUUUCUUCGCGUCCCCCAGGAUUCGAACUCUUGACCUCUACAUAAAAGAGAUUUAAGUUGAAUCAUUAUAUUAAUUGGAAAAAAUGCGCGCGUUUUUUUGUAACGACCCGGACCUCUUGCCCAAGCCAUUAGCUUACGUCCUGUCUACUUUGGGUGGGCCUUGCGCCCACUUAUCCCUCACGGCUUUUCUUCGCGUCCCCCAGGAUUCGAACUCUUGAUCUCUACAUAAAAGAGACUUAAGUUGAAUGCUCUAAAACAGACAGGACGUAAGCUAACGGCUUGGGCGAGAGGUCCGAGUCGUUACAUUGACCCAUCUUAUGAAUGAACCAUUGCAAUAUGCAUGUCACACACUUGACACUGUACUCUUAUUAGAGCUUGGAGUGUCAUGCUGAGUAUUAUUGAUAUUAGCUUGCUCCUGCUCUUAUACUGUUAUGAUUUUUAUGACCAGCAUUUUUAUUUUCAUUUAUUUAUUUGUUUAUUUAAUUUUUUGUUUCAUUUAUGUAUUGCUUUCUAUCUUUCCAGUUCAGUUAGAUUAAUGCUGGUUACACUUGUAAGUAACCUCAGACUGGGCUGAGAUGUUUUUUGGUUGACAAAUAUUAUUUGUAGAACAUCUUUAAUAUGCUGACUGGAUGAUUUAGAUUAAUAUUUGUUUCAUUUGCACAGGGUUCCACAAUCUCCUGAUUCAGCUGACCGUUCCCCAUCUCCAAGGUAAGUAUUUUGAUCAUGAUAACCUCUGGUGGUCUCUUCUACUUAAUUUUUUCUUGCUCCUUAAGAAUAAGCUUUUGGUUCCCUUUAGCAGCAGGAGGCCUUCCAGGCCAAUUAGCAAAUCCUUUUCCAAUUCUAAAAGUUAUUCUGAGUGGAUUUCCAUUUGAUGUCAGAGUGUGCUCAUAAUUUUGAUAGAUUGUGAUUUGUUAUCUGGUUUUCAUUUUAGUGAAAGACGGAGGUCAAGAAGUAUAUCUGGAUCACCUCCACCGAGAGGACGGUCCAUUUCCUCUGAGAGGCCACGUCGAUCUUCACCAAGACUGUCUGGGACACCGAGGAGGAGGCAUUCGCCUCGUCUCUCUCCUCCACCAAGGUAUAGGUCAACCCGCACUAGGAGAAGAUCUAUAUCGCAUUCAAGGCACAGGUCUCCUUCUCCCACACGAUAUAGGGUUCGUUCCCCUCUGCGUCGCAGGUCACGAUCUCCUUUGCGACGUAGAUCAAGAUCUCCCGUGUGGCGUAGGUCAAGGACACCAAUACGAAGAUCACCAGUGCAAUACAGGUCCCGUUCACCCGUGCGACGCAGAUCACCACCUGUGCGACGCAGAUCACCACCUGUGAGACGUAGAUCACCGUCUCCUAUCCCACGACGAUCACUGUCUCCUAUGCGACGACGAUCACCUUCCCCCCCUCGUCGUAGGUUGCCAUCCUUUCGUCGUAAGUCACCAUCCCCUCAUCGUAGGUCACCAUCUCCUGUAAGAAGGCAGCACCGACGAUCACCUUCAACUCCACGGCGCCAGUCUAUAUCCCCAGUUCGGCACAGGUUACCAGUGCCCAGUCGAAGAAGAUCUAUAACACCUGCCAAACGAAGGUCUCCUUCAGUGCAAGAAUCUAUUUCCCCCUCUCCCAGUUCCCUUUCACCAGUCAGGAGGCGAUCACUGAAAAGCCAGAAAUCACCUCUACGAUCUCCCAGAGAAGCAAUCAGGUACUUUAGAGCAUGUUAGCUGCUUUCGAUCUUUAAGAAUUUUUUGAUAUUUGUAUUUUAUUUUGCUUUCAAGCGUAUGGUUUGCAUGUGUUUUUGUUACUGUUACAGUUUAGAUGCUUUAGUGCACAUCUGCAGCAAUGAUAAUGGCGGAACAGACAUUUUUUUUUUUUUAAAAUUAGGAUGCCUAGGAAUACGACAAAAACAAAUCAAUUGAGAUGACACACCCCUUUUAAGCAACUGUGAUAUGUCACGACAGUGUAAUGGUUCAUAAAAAAGAGAACAGGACGUUAUCUACAUAAAAGAACACUGAAGAGACAACACAAUGAAAUUAUGUGCUUAAGACUGUUGGCAUCCUUCCACAUAACACCUAAGCACAGCCCAUAUGAACCAUAACUCAACCAAUCUACUCCAGUUAUUAAAAAAAACCUCGUGUCUUCUUUAUAGAAUAAAAGGAACAUGCUUGAAAUACAGACCUCUAAACGAGGAGGUGCCUCAAAUGGCAAGAUCAUUAAUUUGUUUAUCCAAUAUUCUACCUUUUUGCUGGCACUUCAUUCUUAACUGUAGAUAAAUAGUUCAUUGAAUUGCAACAGAACUUUCCUAUAGCUUUAGUCGGAGGGCAGAAAUGUGAGUUAAUUUUUUUUCUGUAAGGUCCAUUUCCUAGUUUGAAAAGAAUUCAUAUUUUUGUUUUUAUUGUUUAAGGGACAGGGAAACAUGCAAUAUAUCAUGAUGAUGUGGCAGAUAAAUGAAAAUAUUUGAGUGUUGGUAACAGCCACACAAGAAAAAAGUGUGCUCUUUGUUUAAUGAGGUUGAUCAUGAUAUUUCCAGUAUUGCCACUCUCCUUUUUCUUCCCUCUGGUUUUAUCUCUGCUUUUUCCUUUGAUCUCUUGGAAGAACUGGGCUUUCAAAUUAGAGAAACUGGGGUAGAGAGCUGAGAUCUCUAUUAUAUAUCUGGUGAAUUUUGCACGAUUUUGUGUUAUGAGAUGACCAUCUGUACUAUUUCGACUUAUUGCUCUAUUUCCAUUCAAACUGGAUUCCCAUCUGCAUGCACUUUCCUAGUUUGCAGUAGCUGUAAAAAUUUUGAUGCAUAAAAUUCCUGCUGCUGGGGAAUAUGCAUAGAAAGCAGGCUUACUUGAUCUUUGAUCUCUCUAAACUCUAAUCCAAACUCUGAACUGUAGGCCUCUUGUUUCUUUGAGAUCACCGCAAAGGGACAUGCUGGAUCGAAAUGACCAACGUGGAAGAGUGCUGGAUCCGUCUCCUCUGCACAAGUCUCCAUCUGCUUCCGAAGUGUCUGGGGAAGGAAAUCAUAUUGAACGGCAGAGGUUCAAACCUCUAUCUAUAUCUACCUUUUGGUUUUUUUAUCACAUUUUCUUGAGGUGUAACAUUGUAAGUCACAUUUUAUUUGGAUAGGUCUAGUAGUCCUCAUCGUAGUCCUUAUCAAAGAAGGGAAAGGAUCAUUCUUCCUGAGAGUCCAAACCCUUUACCGAAAGGAAUGGGAUCCAAACCUCAUCCUGAUAGUUCUGGGACAAGUGCUGAUGACAGGUAAACCUUGUAUGCUAGGUUUUGUUUGAAAAGUUCAUUGUUCUCGAACGUGGUAUUUUUUACUCUAAAUUUCUGAGUUGUGCAUGGUUUUAUUUUUUAUUUAGAGAGAUUGGAAAGCUUAAACAUAGAUCUUUAGAGAAAAAUUCUCCAUCACAUGAUCGGCAUAAAGAUUCUUUUGGCUUUGAUGAUCAUGUGAAGUCAAGAAAUCCUCGUCAACUGCCAGACAGGUUUGCUGUUGCUGUGGUACAUUCUGUCUCAGUAGUCUAUAGUUUGUGUAUAACUGAUCUAAUUUUUGUAUUUUUUGUUUUUAUUUGAAUAAACCAGUGAAAAGUUAGCUGAAAGAGUGGAUCACAUAAUAAAUCCCGAGAAACAAGAAUCAUUAGUGAUUCGUAAAAGCGCCAUAUUAAGAGAGGAAGGAAAGGGAUCAUAUGUUGACAAUGAUUACAGAGCUGUUGAUAAGAAUACAUCUGUGUAUGACGAUACCAAGGGCAGUGGUCGACAUUCAGAACUUGAAGUCUUGCCUAAUUUGUCUGGGGCAGACAAGCUGAAUGCUCGAAGUCGUUCAGUGGGAUUCAACUCUGAGGAAACUGACAGGCAUAAAACUAAAAUUAAAGAAAAGGGAAAGCACAAGAGGUCAGAGAGACAAGAGGUGGAAUCAGAUGACUAUUCUAGCUAUGAUUCUUAUGAGAAGAGGAAGGAGGCUAAGAGGAGGAAAAAAGAGGAGAAGAAAUUGAAAAAGGAGGAGAGGCAUCGACGGCGGGAGGAACGGCGCCGCAGAAAAAAGGAAAAGCAUGCAGAGAAGCUGAAAUUGAAGUCGCUUGACGCUGGUAGUCCAUCUUUAGAUAUUGAGAUUGAUCAUGAUCGUCAUGCUUCUUAUGAUGACGGUUAUAGAAGGCGGGAAACGCAUACAAGUGACAUGGAGGAAACAGAAUCUGAGCAGAAAAAGCUUGAGAUAGAGUUGAGGGAAAAGGCUCUUGAGUCGCUUCGAGCAAAGAAGGGCGCUCAGAAUUAAAUUUUUUUGCUGCUCUAGAAUAUUUCACUUUUAUUUUCUGUUAUAUGAUCCUGUUAUGAGUUCCUGUUUCUGUCCUAGACCUAUUCUGUUUCGGAUGAAUGUAUUCUUGGUGGCUAUUUAAUGUAAUGUGUCUUUACUGCUGGCAGCUGAAUGGAUAAAUGAGGAUUUCCUGAGCUAGUGUCUUGAGUGCAACUUUAUGCUGACUUUCCUGCUAAAUUUGCUGGUAAUAUUUGUCUUCCCUUCACUGGGAAUAUGUUUAUGUUAUAU
rnacentral:lncRNA from 1 species